GGGAAGGCAGGGGGAGGACAGGAGGGAAGUGAUGGAGGAGGCAGGGAAGCCGAGGGGAGAGGAGACGAGAGGUGCGGAGGCGCUGGCCUUUUUCUUGGUGCCCAACGCCCCUGCAGUGUAGCUCGGCCGUCUGGGAAGCCGCCAAGUUCGCGCCAGCCAGGCUCGCUCUGGGCGCGCCCAGCACUUGCCUGCGACGUGGAAAACCUAGAGAGCCCUAAAUCUCAGGGCUAAUCUCUGGGUACUUUGAGGAAAGCGUCAGGGGGCCUCGAGUCCCGCGGAGUUUUUGCGGAUGCGCCAGGCCGCGUGGGGAUGUGCCGCAGGGAAGAAGCAGUCUUGGAAACUCUCCCGCCCUGUUGGCAGCUGUCGAUGCCUGUGUUCUUUCUAGUAAGUGUGGCGGUUUCCUUUCCCUCAAGUCAUUCUAUCAAAGUCUUGGAAGCAAACUAAAAAAAAAAACUAGUCUGAAUUAGAAAGUUAAGUGAAGACGGCCUUAUGGGUUUGCGCUGCUCAGGUUUAUUCGUAGCUUCUUUUGGGUCCUUCUUCUCUCUCGCUCCCACCUUGAGGCAGAAACAUAGAUGAGGGACUUGCCGGAUGUCUCUUAUUUUCUACACUAGUUUGAACCUUUCCGCCGGAACUAUGUAUAUUACUUUCUCAUAGGUUUGUGAAUUAACAAACAGGAUUAUUGCAGUUAAUAAGAAGAGCUAAUAUGUAGUACUCGGGGCAGGCACUAUUUUGUUUACAAACCUGUGAUUAUUUAAUUCAUCAACUGUGUGAAGUCGGGGCUAUUGUCCCAUUAUCCAACUUACUUCAUUCCUUAGAGAUGAGGAAAUUGAGGCAUGGUCAAGUUAGAUAACAAGGCCUCUUCUAGCCUGUAAGUGGAAGAGAUGGAAUUUGAACGCAAACUGUCGGAGGUAAAUGCCAUGCUGUGGUCACAAUGUUAUAGAAAUUACCCACUAGCGAGCAUAGUUGUAUUGAAAUAUUAAACUUAUAAUUAGGUGGAAUUUUUUUUUUCCUUUUACUUAUUUAGGCUUCCUGAAGUUUAUUUUGGCGAAAUGUCCAAAUUUAGUGUGGACAGAGCAGGACUCACAAUUUAAAAAGGAAACUCUCAAUAAGAAACCAUGCAUUCCAAGGCAGUGUUACAUUUUUCUUACAUGCAAGGUUAUUGAAAUGUUUGACCUGGGAAGUUAUUUUCCUUAGGAGAAACGUUUGUCUUGGUAUACCGUGAUCCCCGAGAACAUGGCGAGCCCUCCAGGAGAAACUCUUCAGUCAUCAGUGUUUGAAAACUAAAUAUUGAUUCAAAUGUACUCAAGAAGUGAGCAUCCUUGACAUGGUCGAUGACAUGAUGUCAAAUGAAAAGGAAAUUUCCCCAAAGAAACAUAAGUAUUGGGUGGAGUCAGGGAAGAUACUCAGGGAGUUCCCUUCGUGGCUCAGUGGUUAAGGAACCCCACUAGGAUCCAUGAGGAUUCCAGUUUGAUCCCUUGCCUUGCUCAGUGGGCUAAGGAUCUUGCGUUGCUUUGAGCUGUGGUGUAGGUGGAAGACGCUGCUUGGAUCCCGUGCUGCUCUGGCUGUGGUUGUAGGCUGGCAGGUGUAGCUCCACUUCAGCCACUAGCCUGGGAAUUUCCAUAUGCCUCGGGUGCCUGGGAACUUCCAUGUGCUGUGCUUGUGGCCCUAGAAAGCAAAAAUAAGAAAAGGGAAGAUAUUCGUUUUUUUUUUUUUUUUUUUUCCCCUCCAUUUUCUUUCUGGAGUCUUCUUCCCUGUCCUUGAACACUUCUGUGACCUCCAAGACUGGGUUAGAAGCCUCUUCUGUGUGCUCCUGUGCACCCAGAAUCUGUGCCUGCAGUGGUACACUGUUUUCUCAUUGCUUGUUCACCUAACUACCUCCUGGGAGAUUCUUAAGUUUCACGAAGGGCAGACAUUCUGUCCUUCUCAAUAGUAUGUCUCCAGAACUCAGCACAGUUGUCCUAAAAUUGGAGCAAUACUGACUGGUUAAAAUGAUGGUUUUUACUGGUCAGCCUUGUCUUGUUAGGAUGUACUGAGUUGGGAUUUAACAGAAACUGUGAGACCAAUGUAUCCAUCAGAAGCAUAGUCUCUAAACAGACCUCCCAGUUUCCUCCUUUCUUACAUUUCCUUGAAUUCCACCUACAUACUUUAUCUUAUCUAUCUCUCUGUCUCUCUCUAUGUUAUCUGUGUGUAUACCAUCUAUCUCCCUCUAUCUCUCUAUCUCUCUAUCCAACUGUCUGUCUGUCUAUCUGUCUUUACCACUGGAUAUAAACCACACAGUCAGGGAUAUAUAUUUUGUUUCAGUUUGGGUAUAUAUCCCAUUGUCCCACUUUUUGCACCCAUUUGGCACAUAAUAGUUUUUUUGAUAUUAAAUAAGAACAAAAACAACCUCUGAAAAUUUUAACUUUAUUUUGGCACCCAAUUAAUAAAUAACUGCAGCCUUAAUCCUAACCUCACUGUUUGGGGUCUGUAAGAUGAUAGAAUCAUACGAUUUUUUUUUUUUUCCCUGAAGGGGACCUGAUAAUUAUGUAAGCCAGCUGGUAGACACAGGCUAUUUCAAUUUAAACUGACUAAAAUAAAAUUAAAAAUUAAGUUACUCAGCUUUUGCCUCCUUUUGGGUGCUCAGUAGCCACAUGUGACUAGUGGCUACUCUGUUGGGCAGCCUUGAUACAGAGAUUUCCAUUAUUGCGGAAAGUUCUACUGGGCAGAGCUGACAAGUUACAAAAAAUAGGUUAAAGGGCAUAGUUUCAUUAGCUUAAAUAUAUCACUGCUACUAAAAAAUAUUUCAGAUGGCAUAGCAGUUCUUUUACAUACAAAGAGCAUCACAUUCUUAUUUCAGAUGUCUGCUAUUUCACAUAGAUAAACAUUUUUUUUUCCUUAACGGUUGUGGUUAAAUUAAUGCACAUUUAAACAUAUGCAGAAGAGCCUGUGGUUCAAAAGGAUUCCUCUUUGUAGUCCCUUAAGGUGAAUAUUCACCCCAGUCAAUCCUUUGUGAGUCUUCACUUUUUUCUGGUUAAAAAUCCUCUGAUCAACUUGAGUCACUGCACAAGUUUGACAUUCAUUCGCUUCGGCUGUGCAUUUUAAGCUCGCAUGAUUGAGGAGCUAAAAUACUCAGUAAUGUUGGUAAAGGCCAAAUGCCAGAUAGUUUUGGACUGACCAAAUAUAUAUUUAAUGACAUCACACAUGCCCUAAGACAGUUUUCAAUUUACAAACACUCUAUUCAGAAGCAGCCCAGAUAGAAAACAUACUGGCGUACUUUCUUUAAACUCUUCCUUAGGACAGUAUUGCCAAGGUGCCCAUUGUACAAAAAUUAGUCAAUAAAAAAAUAAAAUAAAUACUGCAAUUCUAAGACAAUGGAUAGUGUAAGUUGUGGGGGCAACAAAGAAGCCGGAGUGAAACCUUGGGGAAUUAGUAGAGGUUAUUUCCGCAGUAGAGCAGAUUUGCUUAAGUGGUAACCCCCUGACAAAAAUAGUCUAGAGCCACCUUUCUCCCUCUGGCCCCGCCCCUCCUUGCCCUGCCUCUCUCCCACUCCCCUGUUCUUACAAUUCUUUUUUUCUUUUUUUGCGUUUUAGGGCUGCGCAGGCAACAUAUGGUAGUUC
rnacentral:lncRNA from 1 species